CGGUAAUGACGUUAGGAAAGCGAGCGGCGGAGUGGGUGAGGUAACACGUGGGGAACCUGCCCCAUACGUCUGGGAUACCGACUUGGAAACAGGUGCUAAUACCGGAUAAGAAAGCAGAUCGCAUGAUCAGCUUUAAAAAGGCGGUCGUAAGCUGUCGCUAUGGGAUGGCCCGCGGUCGCAUUAGCUAGUUGGUAAGGUAAAGGCUUACCAAGGCGAUGAUGCAUAGCCCGAGUUGAGAGACUGAUCGGGCCACAUUGGGGACUGAGGACACGGGGCCCAAACUCCUACGGGGGGAGGGGCAGCAGUAGGGGGAAUCUUCCACAAUGGACGCAAGUCUGAUGGAGCAACGCCGCGUGAGUGAAGAAGGUUUUCGGAUCGUAAAGCUCUGUUGUUGGUGAAGAAGGAUAGAGGUAGUAACUGGCCUUUAUUUGACGGUAAUCAACCAGAAAGUCACGGCUAACUACGUGCCAGCAGCCGCGGUAAU
rnacentral:rRNA from 1 species